AUUGAACGCUGGCGGCAUGCCUUACACAUGCAAGUCGAACGGCAGCACGGGAGCAAUCCUGGUGGCGAGUGGCGAACGGGUGAGUAAAGUAUCGGAACGUGCCCAGUCGGGGGGGAUAACGUAGCGAAAGUUACGCUAAUAACGCAUACGAUCUACGGAUGAAAGCGGGGGAUAGCAAGACCUCGCGCGAUUGGAGCGGCUGAUUCCUGAUUAGGUAGUUGGGGGGGUAAAGGCUCACCAAGUCGACGAUCUGUAGCUGGUCUGAGAGGACGACCAGCCACACUGGGACUGAGACACGGCACAGACUCCUACGGGAGGCAGCAGUGGGGAAUUUUGGACAAUGGGCGCAAGCCUGAUCCAGCCAUGCCGCGUGCAGGAUGAAGGCCUUCGGGUUGUAAACUGCUUUUGUACGGAACGAAAAGGUUUGGCCUAAUAAGCUGGACCCAUGACGGUACCGUAAGAAUAAGCACCGGCUAACUACGUGCCAGCAGCCGCCGUAA
rnacentral:rRNA from 1 species